rnacentral:pre_miRNA from 1 species
CAGAAUUGUCCUAAGUCAGACCUCUUCAAAUUGGACCAAGCUAUAGAAAGAAUUCUAAUAUCCACAAUGUCAAUAUAUUUGAAUCUAAUGAAGCAAAUUUGGUAUCGUAGAUGUUAAUAUAUUUUUAUAUAAACUUGGUCAAACUUAAUGAAGUUUGACUUAGGACAAACCCAU